ensembl:lncRNA
GCCAGAGCGAUGGUGGCUGAGACGCAGCGGAGCGGAGAGAGACAGCCAGGUUCAUAAUGGAUAUGAGGAAGUUUUUUCAAAAAAAAGAAGCCACAUUUAGAGGGAGAGAGGAAAGAGGAGAACCUGAGGAGAAAGUACAAGGUCAGGAAGAACCAGUCAUAGAUGGCCUUGAAGAAUGAAGCAGGAGGACCUCGUACAAAUGUCUGGUGUCCUGUAGAUAGGAAGCCAUACUGACUGACGUGGCUCCAGAUCAUGGUGAGAAUAAUGUUCAGGUGUUGCAUGGACACCAUGCGGCUGGACAGGUAUGUCAGCUGCACUCCUUGAUCUAGCAGCAGUGAGUCCACUUCAUCGAUAAUGAUGCACUGAAAGUUACGAUCAGGCCUCACAUCCUUCAUCUCAAAUAUUUGGCGAAGGUGAUCAGCAGCAAAGGCUUCAAUGGUUCCAUA